rnacentral:rRNA from 1 species
UACGUAGGGUACAAGCAUUAAUCGGAAUUAUUGGGCGUAAAGGGCGCGUAGGCGGAAAUGUAAGUCAGAUGUGAAAUACCAAAGCUCAACUUUGGUGCUGCAUUUGAAACUGCAUUUCUAGAGGAGUGACGGAGAAAGCGGAAUUCCACGAGUAGCGGUGAAAUGCGUAGAUACGUGGAGGAACACCGGUGGCGAAGGCGGCUUUCUAGUUUUUACCUGACGCUGAGGCGCGAGAGCAAGGGGAGCAAACAGG